AAAAAAAAAAACCCAUCUCCACCACCGCCUCCACUCCGCGUGCCAUCGCCACCACCACCGCCACCGCUGAGGGCAGAGUGAUGGCGUCGACGGUAGUACCCGAUGAGGCGCAGGAGGCACCGAACCGGCGUGUGAUCCUGAAGCGCUACGUGACAGGGCUCCCCACGGAGAACGACAUGGAAUUUGUUUCCGGCGCCGUGCUCCUGGCCGUGCCGCUGGGGUCGGCGACGGUGGUGCCCGACGAUUGGUAGACGUUCCACUCCUUCCCAAUUCCUCAAUUCCCAAUUCACUUCGCUCCCAACCCAACCCUACCCCGAUGGGUCCGCCGUCGACCAGGGAGGAGCCCGCCGCCAAUGACCCGGAGACCUCCCGAUCGGAACAGGGAGCAGGAUGAGGCGACCAAACGUCUACGGCGCAGGCUGCUCCGCCGCCUCUACGCCAGCAGCUCAUGGGGGCCUACCGCGCUGACAAGCGCCUCAGGCUGCUCCUCACCCUCAACGUAUCCUACGCCGCCGCUGAGAACCGAUUCAUCUCCCACCUCUCCUCCCGGCUUACCUAGGUCAUUUGGUCGUCUUUGCAGCACUUCGAGGCGUCGGAGGUGGGCAUGCUCGCUAGAGGCACGGCGCCCUUCUCUGUGCCCAACAGCCAUUAGGUUGAAUCACUGGGGACAGUAGUGCUGAUUUCUGAUUUGAUCCAAUCGGUUUCGUCCCUUUUUUGCUCCUUGCAUCUAGCAGAUUUGGCAUGAAAGGCGCGAGGGGUGGAGGGCUUUGUGUCGUGGUAGAGUUCGAGCCAGCGAAUUCAGCAGUGCGCAGAUCAUUCCUCAAUUUCAAAGGUUUGCUUAAAACUGCUCCUUGCUUGCACAGAUGCAUUUCCGUUUGGAUGUUAUUCUCUUGCGGCCAGGGCCCAAGCAAACUGAAGCGGCCCCUCCUUCCUCACAGCUCCGCCUUUCCAUCUGCACGUGUGUUAGAAUUUCUAUUGGUAAAUGACUAUUAACUUUCUCCAAUUGAUGUGUAAAUUUGUGAAUUUAAGUCAGGUUCUUUUCCUAUAUAAUGCAGCCAUGUCAAACCACAAAUAUUUCAUAACAUUUUCACAUGCAUGCCAUGUGUUUGAUGAAAUGUUUGAGUGAUAUAAUACUACUGGAUGGCAAGUAUUAACUUUGAGGGUGUGAAAAUGGGGAGCUUUUGGGAUGCGCAGCGCUAACUGCAGCCUGUCUACAUAUUAGGGAUAUUUCAAUGUAUUGUUGCAGUGUUCUAAUUUGACAAGUGAUAAAAAGAGGAUAAGUGGUGGUGCUAGCUCAACUGCACAAUCUGGUGAAACAUCAAAGAGCACAGGUGAAACAGCCUCAGGUACAGGGGACCGAAUAUAUCUAUUAUGGCCUUUUGUAUACCUUGGGCAAGUGAUAAAAAACGGCUCCCGCUUAAAAUGGCAAGUGAUAAUAACUUUAAAAAUAACAGUAGGUUCCCAAUUGCACCAAGUAAGUUCAAGAAUUUUACAAGAAUGUUGAGCCAAGAUGGAAGAACAAACAACUUCAAUAUAUCUACAUUGGGAAGCAUAGCUCAGUCAUAUCCUGCAAAGCUGAAUGUAAGUAUCAGGGAAUGUCAAUUGAUCUGGUCUCAGCAUCGGUCUCUUUAUGCUGUAUUUUCCAAUCUAUCUACAAUUCAUCACAUUCUUGUAAGCUUCAUUUCACCAAUUAAAUUAUCUUUGAUUUAGUUUUCAAUAUAUACCCCUCAUGUCAGACCGUGCAGUAGUGUGAGCAGUUGCUACCGUUCAUUCCCUGCUUGCCUUGAUAUAUUGGGCUUUAAUCGAGGUGGGCAACUAUUUUCUGAAAAAUAGAAGCCACAGUACAGUUUGGAUUGAUAGCGAAGGUGAUGAUAGUAGGGAACACAAGGAAAAAUUUAGGUGUCAAGAGUCUUUCUGCUAAGGUUGUCAUCGUGUCAUUUUGGGAUAGAGCGAUGGAAAUGAAUAUGUAUUGCACGGGCAAAAUGAGAGGGAUGAAAGGAAGAUUCUCAGCGCUCUGAAAUAUGAAGUAGUAUUUUUCCUUUCCAGUUUUCCAAUUUUUCAUCCUUAGUGCAUUUCUAUUCUAUAAAAAAUACAUAUUCGUCCAAUGAUGCUGACGGUUUGGCUAUGGAAGACACUAAUUGUUGUUGUCAUCAUGCAGCUUAGGGUUGCUUUCCCAGUUGCGGUACUUUUCUCUUCACUGGCUCCACUACACCACGGUAGAGAAUUAGAGGCAGAUUUUAGAGGAAAACAAAUUUGCCUUGUUUGCCUCAAAAAAACCCUUGAGGCAGAUCUAUUAGCCUCAAAAUAUUAUGGUGAGGCUGACAAUGUUUGCCUUAGUAUAUCUUUGACUUGAUGCUCUUCUGAGGCAGCCUCAAGUACUCUUUUGAGGCAGAUAAUACACGUCCUUUUUUUAUUUCCUCGCACUCCUCUUUUAGCUCAUUUCAUUUCUCGCUUAGAAAAAUUAGGCAUGGAGUGAAGUUCAUGAGAAAAUAUUCGCGAGAAACAAGCAUGCACAGGUGGUGAUAGAAAUUAUCCUCUUGCUUCCUCACCCUCAACCUUAUCUUUUUACAUGAAAACACCUUGCUUGUCCACUCAUCUGAGGCUGCUAGCCUGCUGCCCACACCCAAGACACCACCUCCACCUCCAAUCUCCAGCAAUCCAGUGCUGCUGCUCCCAGGCCACCAUCUCUUCCACCCAUCUACACUGCUGCCCCAAAGCCCACCAUCUCCUCCACCCAUCCAUGCUGCUGCUCACCCAAACCAGUAAUCCUCUAUCCCUACGAUCCAGUUUUGCUACCCCCAUCUAUCUCAUGCCUCCUCCUUCAGUUCCCCACCAUAACUUCUAGAUCCACCAAUUGCAGAAAGCUCUAAGGAUGCCUCUAGCAAGAUCCAAGGCCGACCAACACCUUCUUCCACCUCCUCCCCUAUCUCUCGCCACCAGAUCUCCAAAAGCAACCAACCACCCUAGCAUCGAUUGGUUUAUUGCUGCGAGUGAUUGGACUUGGAAGAUUGAUGUGCAACUGGUUUCUACAUAGAUAUUCUAAGUGUCAUGUUCUGAAGUUCUUGCUGCUUCUAAAAUUGCAUGUGCAACAGCAACCUUCCACCUAUACAAAAGAAAGCACCGUGAAUAUAUUUCAUUGAGCGGGUUACGAAGACCAAGAGAUAUUGAAUGUGUACACCAUGAGACGUUCCAUGACUCGUUUAAGAGACAUAUAAGGGAUAUUACCUUUGUAGAAACUUUGUAAACAUUUUGGUUCCAUAGCAUUAAAUCUAUUGUGCCAAUAAUAGAUCCAUGAUUUAUUGUCCAAAGGAGCAGUUCUAUUUCAAGAAAUUCAGACUUCGGCAAAAGGUCCUGAUAUGCAUGUGAUUGCAUACACCAACUAUCUUAUAAAUGGAUAUAAGUUUCGCACAAAGUUGUGUGAUGAAAGGAAAUCAAUUCAAAGUAGUGGGUUGGUUGUUGUUCCUGAGAUUUGUAGUUUCUCUAGCGUGAAGGAUCAAAACCCUGUCAUAUUCAGUGCUGCAUAUUAUGGUAGCAUUACAGACAUAAUUGAAUUAAAUUACAGUGGGAAAGGAAGAAUUGUGUUAUUCAAAUAUGAUUGGAUCAAUCUUUCACGGGACAGAGGUGUUAAGAAAGAUAAAUAUUGGGUUACACUUGCGAAAUUCAACUACUUAUAUAAUAAUACAAAUAGUUUGAUUGAUGAACCUUUCAUCUUAGCAUCACAAGCUACAUAGGUGUAUUAUGUUCGAGAUCCUAUAGAUCAUGAUUGGCAUGCGGUUGUACAAUCAAAACCAAGGGACUUCUAUGAUAUGGGUAUGAAAGAUUGUGAAAAUGAAGAGGACUUAUAUCAGCAAAAAGACCAAACACGUGAGCUGAACAUAAAUGUUGACAUUGGUGUUGAUUGUGUCAAUGAUUGUCUCACUAGGAAAGACAAAUGGAGUAACUAUUGAUUUGACUAUUGGGUGUCAGCGGUAUGGUUGAAUACUUAUGAUGCCCUACUUUUAUAUAUUUUUUAGUUUUGUUGAUUCAAUUGUGUGUCCUUAUUUUAGUGUCUUAAUUCAUUAUUCAUUCUUGUUAAAGUAGGAAAAACAAUGGAAUAGGCACAAAGAAGAGAAGAAAUGCCGCUAGAAAAUUAUUACGAGCUUGUACGUAGGAGGCGUAUAGAUGAAAAUAGUGAAGUUCUUAAAAAACACCGGCUGGCUGAAAUUGCAGCAGAGUUAUCAAGGAAGCCAAAAUGAGUGAAGCAUGUUGUACCAAAUGAGCCAGGUCAACUUGUACACAAUGAGGAAGAUGAGUUGAACCUAUCAGAUGAGGAAGAUGAUCCUGUGUACUGUGAGGAAGAUGAGGAGAACUCAUCAAAUCAAUAAGAUGAGUUGAACCCAUUAAUUGAGGAAGAUGAUCUCAAAAUAAGUCAUGAAUAUAAUGAUCGUGAAGAAGUGUUAGCAGCACUAAAAAGAAGAAGGGGCUGCACAAGGAUGGGGUCUUUCUAGCCAGAUGAUGAUGAAAUCCAUGAGAAGAUAAAAAUUGAUUACAACAACUACUUUUAACCUAUUGGUGCCAAAGUGCCAAAGUUAUCAAAUCUAAUUGGUACACUUGUGAAAGGAAAAGUUCUCUCUAUGGCUUAUGACAAUUCGACUAGUGUAAAGUAUAAGGAAGAUGUUUGGAUUGGUGUCAAGGUAUAAUUCUCUACAUCAGUAUUUUCUAUAUUUCUAUAAUAUUAGGACAUGCGGUUCUAUGUCAAAGUUUAAAGAUAAUCACAUCUUUGUUUCUUUAGAGGUAUUUUGACCUAGAUGAAUGUUUGAAGGAUCAUGUCAUGAAAUCAGCUCACAAGAAAUGAAAGGACUUCAAAAAUAGACUAAAGACUAAGUACUUUGAUCUUGAGUUGAGUGAUCAUGAGCUCCUGCUGAAACGUGAUUCAAGAGUUUCAGAACCUGAUUGGAAGUGGCUAAUUGCUUUUUGGAGAACUAAUAAAAGCCAAAUAAGUAUACAUAAAAAAUGAAGGAUAUUUCAUUUAUUGUUCUAAUUUUAAUACAUGCUAUUGAUAUAACUUAUGUUUGAUUGCUAGGCACGCAGUGAGCGUGGGAAAGCAAAUCGUGCAAAAAUGACUGCAGUACAUACCAUAGGUACACCAAGCUUAGCAAAUGUUCACCAUAACCUGGUUAGACUUAAAACUUUAGUUGAGUUUAUUGUUUGACCAGAAAUAAUUCUUUUUAUAUUCAUCCGAUGAUAGGAGAAAAAGAAGGGGAGAAAGGUUAGACGUGCAAAAGUUUAUAAAGUUGUUUAUACUCGUAAGGACAGCACACCACAACUCGCCUGUGAACAAACACUUGUAAGAAAAAUUAUUUCACCAUCAUGAAAAGGGACAUAUCAAGUUACUCUAACUGUAAUGGCCUCUAUUUUUUUUAUUGGGUAGGCUCAAAUAGGUGAAAAAUACAGACAGGAACCAGACUUUGUAGAUAAUCCUUUAUAGGAAGGAGACUUUCUUAGUGCAUUUAUUGGAAAGGAAAAUAGAGGAGGAGUUACUGGUAUAGGUACGGGCCCUACACCUUCCAGCCUUCACAUGGCAAGAACUAAACCAUCAGCAGCUACAAGUCUACAAUUAGAAAGAGAGGGAAGGCACAAGGCAGAAAAGGAAAAUCAGGUUUUGAAGGAGGGAUUGCAGUAGCUAGAAGAAUAAAUGGAAGAACGAAUAUAGCAACUAAUUGCUGAGAGAUUCACAAAAUUUAAAGCUCUGAUGACUCCUUCUCCAUCAGAGAAUGGAAGCAUGCCAAUUGAGAAGCGAACAAACUCAUCAGCUUCAAAUAACAUAGAAGUAAAUACUUUAAACUGUAUUUUACUUUAAAUGCUUUAUGAUAUAUACGUUAAUGCUACUCUUAGAUUAUACUCAUUUAUCUUAAUAUAGCUACAACCAAGAACUGUUCCAGUAUCAAAACAUCAUCAGGUCAGAUCAAAUGAACCCUUCUCUUUUUUAUUCAAAUGUUACAUAAGCUUUAAACUUGUAAGAUUCAAUGAGAAGGAUUGUUAAUCCAAGGCAUAAUGCGCAACGGAUGGUACAAAAGAAUGUGAGGUAUCAUAACCGCAAGAUGCCUACAAGGAUUGGUGGAGAGCAUCCUACAAAAGGUACAACAAGCUCCAAAGGACAUAAACACUCUAAAACCUAUGCUGCAACAACACAUGUUGAGGUAUGCUCAAUAUUCUUAAUCUAAUUAAGAGCAGAAUUGGAGUGUCCAACUUCCAAAGUUGUUUACCUUAGCUUUGGUUUUCACUUGCUAGUCUACCUGUACACAUCUAAAUAUUUUAAGUUAUAUGCAAUAUAUGCCUGGAAUUUUAUGUGAUCAUUUUAAUUUCAGGUGCCUAAAGAUAUGCAGCCAGCUGGUGGUAAGUUAGUAUAUCAGGUAUAUUAUGAUACAAUAUAAAUGGUGUACUAAAUUUAUUCCUUGAUUUCUUAGCAUUUGUAGAAGAAAUGUUAUGUGGAUUUUUCAAUUGCUUCAUGCAGAUAAGAUAUAUGUGUAUAUUAUCUACCUAUAAAUGAAAUUUGCAUUGUUAACAUGCUACAGCCAGCCUUAUUUAUAAUUUCAGUGCUUGAAAAAUUCUAAAUAAAUUGUUAUCAUGCACUGAUUAUUCAUAAGAUGGAAAAGAAGUCAAUAUCACCAGCAAUGUGCACCACGGUAUACAAAUGGACUAGAUUAAUCAAAUUUACAGCAAAGCAGCAAAGAUUGGUGGAGAGUUCUUUUGGGAGCUAUGACAAGUACUAAGGGAACUACUAGACAAUCUAAAGUUAUAAUUAGAACAACAGAUGGAACUAUUCAGGUUUGUUUGUGUGAUGUGUCAUUUUGAUAAACUAUGUUCGCAUUCCUUCAUACACUCCAGAGCUCUUGGUUAAUAUGAUUUUUUGCAAAGUCAAGUCAUAGACUUUCUGAAACCUAAUUUGUUCACAUAACAAAUAGGUUGGAAAGGAGGUGUUUCUUUAGGGGACCACUCGGCCUUAUAGUCGUGCUACAAAAGCAACUGUCGAGGGCAAAGACCCAUUAGAGAUGGUUGGAGGUGUAAAGCUUGGUAGUCAAUGCUACAAAGUUGUAAUAUAUAGUGCACUAUGUUGAGAUGCUGAAUUGUUCUGCCCACACAAAAAUAUGAAGCAUAUUGGUGAUGCUAUUGGUCAUUCCAUUCCAUGGCCUUCCUAGUUGGUAUAUUUUUGUAGUUUUCUUCUUUUUAUUUGUUAUAUUUUCUUGUUUCAUAUAAGUUCUAAAAGGCUAACUAAACAUUUUCAGGUUCAAGAAGUUUCACCAAAGCUAUCUGGUUAAGUCAUAAAGAUAGGUGGUCAACUUUAUCUAGCAAAAGAUGUCUAAGAUGUAUGAUGCGAUUGUUGCAAUGCUUCCGUUGGAUACAACUUUUGUAUACAUGAUUGACAAUGUCAUAUUUAGUGUAUAGAUGAUGAUAUGUUAAACUCUAAAUGCUUCCUUUUGUGGUUAUAUGAUUGGUUUAGGGCACAAUCUAGGGCAUGUGUGGAUGAUCACUUUAUGAUACAUCUUUUGUGAAUGGAUUAUCAAUGUAUAUCACACCUUAUUAUGCAUGGAUGGUAUAUGGAACCAUUUCUAUUAUUCA